UUGUAGAGUGGAAAGUCACUCUCCUACCUCUGUGCACCCCCUCCCACCUCUGCUUCCCAGAGGCCUCCCGUUUUCCCAGUUUCUGUGUGAAACGCCAGAACAUCUGUGUAUAUACAGGAAAACAGACACACAGAGACACACGAACACGUACACCUUAGUCCACAGCACACAGUCUCAUUGCCUCAAUGUUUAAAAAACAGUUGUGACUUUUAAACAUGGCACAUUGAUGUAUUCCCCAUCUGUGUGCCCCUGCUCCCCUCUGGUGUCCCCCCAAUAGCCAGCAUUCCCAGGCGUUCUUCCUCCGGACAGUCUGUGCAUGUGUAACCAGUUCCUUAAUAAUAACACAGCCCUGAUGCUGAUUUGUAAGAACUUGGCCUGUCCGGUUCUGUCUCUUCUCUAGCAUGUAAACACCGGCUCCGGUACAGAGUACAUGCUCAACAAAUAUUUAGGGAAUGAAAUCAUAAACACAAGCAUCAGCCUUAUCUCCCUACUCUCUCUCCAUUUUCAAAUCUAUCUCGCAAGUUUGAUUGAUUCUCCUGUGGGAAUUCUCAAAUUCAUCUCUUCCUUGCUUUUUCUGUGAUCACGGCCCAAACUCGGGAUCUAUCGCUGUUUGCCUCAGACUGUUACACCUCCUAAGGAAUCUCCUAGCUGCUCCUCGUGCAGAUCAAUAGCUCCACACAGAGGUCGUGUCACAUGGGUCGGAGCGCCGGGCUCAGAAGCAGACUGCCCAGACAGACAUUCAGAUGACAGUCCCGCCUGCUGUCGGCAGAGUGCAUGCCGAGUAGGAUGAAUGGGACACAGACACGUCAGGGCGUCAGGGUGUGACCGCUGCCCGGCCAGGGCUCAGGUUGUGCGGAGAGGCCGCACGUGUAAGUACCCCCCGCACGACUUGCAGGAUGGAGGCGGGUCAGAGCUGGACCCUGAGACGGGAGCAAACUUUGCCAGCACUGCUGGGGUCCGUCUCUAGGACACAGCGGACCUUCCUGAUGGCAGAUCCUGGCAAAAUGCUAGAACCGUGGGUGACAUCGGGUGAACAGGCAUGUCCGGUGCGGUGCCACAGCCCGCUGGUCGCAUUACUGGACGGUGACCGCCCGUCAUUCCUACGCCAUCCUUGUCCUCAUACUCAGAGUACCUGGUGUUUGCUGGUUCCCUGCUUCAGCCACGAGCCGGUUUUGUUCCCAAAGAGCAUGAAGCCUGCUGUGCAGAAGGGACCUUAGGGUCACCCAGGCCAGCCUCCUCAUGCUGUAAAUGAGGCAGCCCAGCUCUGAUAGAAGAACUUGCUUGCUUAGAGGCCAUUAAGCAUUUCCUUCAUCCAUUUCCUUAAUGACAAAGGUACUUACACUCAGGUGUAUUAUAACUGUCAGUUUUGGACAUUUAUUAAGCCUCUAUCUCAUGACCAACCCAGCAGAAAGCGUCUGUGCCCGGGUGUUAGCUGAUGAGUGGAGUUAAGUGCCCCAGAAACUCCUGAUGCCCGUCCCUGCAUCCCUGCACCCCUGCUGGUAGAGAGACAUGACGGUGAGAAGCACGUGGUCCUGCACUCAGACUGCUUCUCAGGCUCUGUGCAGCGUUUCAUGGAACAGACAGUUCAUGAAAGAUAAAUAGAUGCUGUUAAUUUGGCAUAAAGCAAGUGAAGUUCUUCUCUUCUUCCUAACGUGCACCUGAAGUUAUCAGGGGCUUAGAGAAGCCCCUGGUAAUGCCCACUUGUGAACCCCAACCUACCAGUCCUUCCACAGAGAAAAUCAUGUGACAAAUCAUAUUGGGGUUCUGUGUCACUGAAGCAAGCUCCCCCUAAAAAUAAGUAAAUAAAAACAACCCAGGUGUGUCAGUUAACACCUGAGAAAAUAAACACAACUAAAGGCAGAGCAUGAGAAGACCCAGUUAAAAUACUUCGUGAUGUUCACUGCUCAUAGUGAAGAUGCCAUUUUAAACAAAGAAUGAAGUGACACAAAAUAUACAAAAAAACUACUUAGUCACAUGCUUUUCAAAAAAUUCUGGAAAUUUUUUGCCUUAUGUUGGAUUCUCUUGCCGUGCAUCACUCAAAGCAUGAAAAUAACAUGUUUGCGGGAAAAUCACAGCUUCAUAAAUCACAGUGCAGUUUAAUCAAAUUGCAUCAUCAAGUCUUUAUUUCCACAUUCACGAAUAUGUAAGAGUUUCAUGUACCAGGGACACUUGGUAAAAGUUGGGUUUUUUUACUGGUAUACUCUUAACUAUUCAGCACAACAAAAAUUUCAGUGCCUUUUACUCGUGUUUCAUAAAGUACUUUUCUUCAGACUUCAAUUAACCAAAGGCACAUUGGCAUCAGAAGGCUGGCAUACCUCACAGUAUCAGACUGGAAUAGGAAGUCAUGUUCUGUUCAUUUGGCGAGAGGCCAGUGUCACUUCGGGGAGCACUAUACCUAUAAGCAAAUGCAAUUUUGCUUUAAAUCCUCUUUUCACUCUGAAAGGAAAUUUUCGGUGUGUAAGGGGGAAAUAGGGCCAAUGGGAGAAAGAGAAAUCUUUGUUGAGACUGGCAACUCUCCAAUGAGCAAAAUAUGGACAAGUUUUAUAAGUUAUAUUCUUCCAUCCACAAGGGCAGCAAUGUACUCUUCAGUAAAUAUCUAUUGAGUGAAAAGACUAUAUUAAUUGUUCUUACAGCUAGAUUUUUAUCUUCCGUUGUUCAACUGAGAAGAUGCUAUAAUUCCAAAAUGAUGCUAUCAGCCACGAUCAUUAUCUGCCUGAGUGGGUGUUGCUGAAAAGACCGAUACUGGGUCACUCUGGUGCUCUUGGGUGCAGUACGUUUUUUUCCACCUAAGAAUUAAGGUUAAAAGGGCUUCAUGCCUGUAACUUACUCUUAAAUGGCUCCGAAAAAAUUGAGUGUGUAUAUAAAUAGAAACAUAGACAUAUACAAUGUUAUAAUGUGAAGACCAUCUGGGAUUCCGUGUACCAUUCUUGCAACUUUUCUGUACAUCUGAAAUUAUAUUAAAAAGUACUUAAGUGGAGUUAAGAUUCCUGGAAGUGAAGUAUACUUUGAUAAGUGAUGGAAUGUUAGAAUUCUUUUUAAUUGAGAGAUAGUUCAUAUACCAUAAUGAAAUAACUUUUUAAAAAUUGACUCAUGAAAAUAUCAAUUAUGAUAUCAAAUUAUUAUAAAAAUAUAUAUUAUAAAAAUA